rnacentral:rRNA from 1 species
UACAGAGGGGGCAAGCGUUAUUCGGAAUUAUUGGGCGUAAAGGGCGCGUAGGCGGCUUGGCAAGUGGAUGGUGAAAUCCCUCGGCUUAACCGAGGAACUGCCGUCCAAACUGCUUUGCUUGAGACCGGGAGAGGUGAGUGGAAUUCCCAGUGUAGCGGUGAAAUGCGUAGAUAUUGGGAGGAACACCAGUGGCGAAGGCGGCUCACUGGACCGGUACUGACGCUGAUGCGCGAAAGCGUGGGAGCGAACAGG